rnacentral:lncRNA from 1 species
GGCGCAAACUAAUGGCCGGACCUCAAAAAACAAGAGAGCCCGUCUAAAGAAAACACAACCAAAAAGACUGGCUGGAGGCGGAAGUGGGACAACCUCAGAGACUCCGGCCGAACCAUCGUCCCUAGGAAGUCCAGCACAACAACUGGGAACAAGAAGCAAGAGGAACAAACCAAGACCUACAGAAAUAAAGAAAGCUGAUAAAAAAAUAGAAACAAAAAACAAACUAAGGCCGCCACCCACCAUCUUCGCGAAAAACUCCACAAAACAUCUAAUACCCAGCGACCACCUGCAAAACCAACA